GAUGAACGCUAGCGACAGGCUUAACACAUGCAAGUCGAGGGGCAGCAUGACCUAGCAAUAGGUUGAUGGCGACCGGCGCAAGGGCGAGUAACACGUAUCAAACCUGCCGAUUAUUCCGGGAUAGCCUUUCGAAAGAAAGAGUAAUACUGCAUAGCAUAACGAGAAGGUAUAUCCUUGGAAUUUAACAAUUUCGAUAAUCGAUGGGGCUGCGUUCCAUUAGUUUGUGUGCGGGGUAUCGGCCCACCAAGACAUCGAUGGAUAGGGGUUCUGAGAGGAAGGUCCCCCACAUUGGAACUGAGACACGGUCCCAACGCCUACGGGAGGCAGCAGUGAGGGAUAUUGGUCAAUGGACGAGAGUCUGAACCAGCCAAGUAGCGUGAAGGAUGACUGCCCUAUGGGUUGUAAUCUUCUUUUAUAUGGGAAUAAAGUGGGCCACGUGUGGCUUUUUGUAUGUACCAUACGAAUAAGGAUCGGCUAACUCCGU
rnacentral:rRNA from 1 species